GUGCUUGCUUUGGCAGCACAUAUACCAAAAUCAGAGCAAUAAGGAGAAGAUUAGCAUGGCCAGUGUGCAAGGAUGACAUGCAAAUUUGUGAAGCGUUCCAUGACAAC